GUCCAGCACAGGGAGACGCCACCAGCCAAGACGGGGAUCAUGACACUGACGGGGGCCUGAUGCUGGGAAGAAGGGUCCUGCCACCUGGAGCCUGAGGGCGUGUGGGAAGCGCCAGAGCAAGUGUCCGACCCGCAGCGUCCCUGCAGCACGGCCAGGGACUGGGCAGGGGGAACAGACUGUGAACUGCCCUGGCACUGCAGAGACGGCUGUGUGUGGUGUCCCUCAGCCCACAGGUUGAGAGAAGUACUUCCAAAAGGUGGCAGAUGGACUGGAGUGCCAAACUCUACAGCUGCAAGAAAGAACUCAGAGAACUGUGAGAAAGAUACCAUUUUGGAGCUGGGGAUAGGAUACGGCUCUCCAUAAAACGAUGGUUCAUCCCACAGCAUCUCAUCCUUCACCAAGAAUUCACCAUUUUCCUCUCUGCUGGGCUUCUUGCUGGGCUCACUCAACUGCAUUGUCUUACAAGACCUCACUUUCUUGCCUGCUCAUGGAUGGAGAGGUAGUUUCUGGCAGAGUACAGGUUCCAAGACUUAACUCAAACCCUUUGUACAAAACAGCACUGCUUCCUUUCCCUCUCCACCAUCCCUCCCCUUGACUAAUCAGCAAAUCUGCUCUAGGCAGCGCUUUGACAAUCCUUUGAUGACAGCCACAUGUGCUACUGAUGCCACCCA